rnacentral:lncRNA from 1 species
GACCGGUUCCCGAACCUUGGUGGUUCUGUCACGCAGCGAGGGACCGGUCUCAAGUUUGAGAGACCGGUUCCCGAACGUGGGGUUUUUGGUCACGCAGGGAGGGACCGGUUCCUCACUUGAGAGACCGGUCUCUCACAGACCGGUCUCCUCGACAGGACCGGUCUCUGAGGACGACACAGGUUUUUGAAAUCGACUUUUUGCAAUCCUAGUCUACUUCUAAGUCUUCUAAACAUAUAAAUAAGCUAUGUGGGUCAUCUAAAAUUAAGGCUUUGAAUAUUUUACCAAUUCUAAACCCUAGAAACUCGUUUUCUUCGCUUCGAUUUACAUGAUGAGUUUCUAGCAAUCAACAUUGGCUUGUUUCUUCGUUUUUACACAAUAUUUCUUACAAGAAUCAAGUAGAUGAUUGAUUAAAGGUGAAUCCUCACAGCUUAUGGUUUUCAAAAGAUAAAUCACCGCAAAUCUUCAAUUCUACAAGCUCCGGAAGGAGGUUCGGCGCGAGGAUCUCGCGCGAAGCCGAGGAUUCGGUGGACGCUUUGAGGAGUUGAGGCGUUGACGCUGCGAGGAGUUGCAGCAAGGUCGAUUGGUGGAUUCCUAUCGAUCGAGGACCGGCAAAGAUCACCGUCAACAAGAAAUCGGUAAAUUGAGUCGCGUGUUUUUGGUCGAAAUCACUUGUACUCAUGUUUUCUUAGUGGAUUUUCUUUGCGUGAUCGGUCCCGUGGGUUUUUCACUCCGAAUUGGAGUUUUCCCACGUUAAAUUCUCGGUGUGCUAUUUUAAUUUCCGCUAUUGUGUUUGUUUGCAUCGAGAUUGUUUGAGUUUGCCGGAUUUACACCUAUUCACCCCCCUCUAGGUGUUACUUACCUUUUAGAUCCUCGGGAUCCAUAACUCACAUCUACCAUACAUAUAACCCCUCGGGGGCUCACAGGUUGACACCUACAACCACUUUUCCGAAAAAGAACACCCUCUUGCGGUGGAUCAGACCGCUGGCGUUCGUGAAAUGCGAACGAGUCUCGGGCGGUCAAUGCUGAUAUGCUCAAAGGCCAACCGUCGGCAACCAGCCGACAAUCCUGCCCCUCAGGGCCCCACCGACCGUAUAGGUCAUCAACUGUAAGGAAGAAUAAGAACUGACCACUCAAGUCAACUAGGAUGGAACAACUCAACAUCCUCUCAAAAGCAUGCAAAUACUGCUCAAUAGGUCAACUAAAGUGUAGAUGCAAGAACCGACAAUAGGUCACAAUACGACAUACAUGAACCGACCAACCAGGUCACUGAUACGGAGUGCGAGAAUCGACCAACCAGGUCACUGAUAUGAAGUACAAGAAUCGACCAACCAGGUCACUGAUAUGAAGUACAAGAAUCGACCAACCAGGUCUCUAAUAUGAAGUACAAGAAUUGACCAACUAGGUCACUGAUAUGAAGCACAAGAAUCGACCAACCAGGUCAUAGGUAUCACAAAUAGAUAGACUACUCUACUCCUACACCUGAUACUAAGCAUGGGAACAUCUAAGUAGAGUGUACUAUAAACAAUAGAGGUGCAAAGCUCAACAUAUAAUAUAUGCAUGGAUAGUAACCAAAAGAGCAAAGGUAAGAAACCAUCACUGAGAGUGCACCACUGUACCAACGUCGGAUCGAAGUACCUACCUGUAAGGAUAUUGUGCCUGUCUCCUGACUGCAAAAGAACGUCAACUGGACCUAAGGAAGGUCCACCGGGUUAGUGUCUAACCCACAACUAAUAACCAUAGUAUCACAACUCCACAAACAAUCCCACGGCGAUCGGUUUCCCAAAACCAAUUACCGUAACUCGCCGGAAGUCCCGAAAAUCGCACUGGGACUCCGCCGGGACCCACGAAUUGUCCCGGAACACACCGACUCAUGCUACGAGUCACCCGCUGCCACUAAACAUAAUUAAUCGUGCAUCAUGGCAGCAAACACAACUCCUCACGUCGAAAUAAUUAUCGUCGGAUAAUCGUUUUGAUCCGGGUUCCCGGAAGUGUUAAUUUCGACACCGGAACCCACCGUCGCUCACCCGUCAUUUCUGAACACUCGAAAUGAUGCGAGUGACCAGCCAACAAGGCUCAGCGACUACACAAUAGCUCACGAAGCACCGUCGGAAUAAUUCCGAACCGAACCCGCAUUCCGUCGGCGGAUUUCGCCGGGAAACGCUCCGAAAAUCACUUUUUGAUUUCCACAAAGGCUUAGGGCCUUGGACGAUCAGUCCAGAGGUUAUUCUCAACCCUAACUUGCUGCCAACAGCAGCCUCGAAGAAAAAAAUUGCAUAAAAGCCCUUACCGAUGCAUAAACUCGCACCAUUUAUGUGGUUUCGGAGCUUUUAUGGGCCGUGCGCGCAAACCAGAGAUCGAUUAAUCAGACCGUCGCACUUGCUGAUAGGUUUCAGCAUGUCGGAGGCCAUGCUCACCUUUCGGAGCACUGCCGGCCACUGUGGUGCGCGCACGAGCGAUGCAAAAAUCUGUGAAACUGCACGCACAGCGCAAAGAUUGCGAUUAACUCGCUAACCAGGGUAUCUUUGCCCCUGUCGGCGGUGAGCACAAUAUUCAGCACGAGUUGUAGAUCAUCGUGCUCACUUCCCAAAGUUUAGAAGGCUUAUCGGAUCACCGGAAAGAUGACCAGAACCUCGGAAUUUAGUGUUGGAGCAUAAAAUAGCCUUACCAGACCCGAGAGAGCUAGGGUUGACUGUCGGCGGUCGGACGGCGGGCGGUCCGGCCAGGGAAGGGUGCGGCCGGUCGGUGGGGUUCGGGGAACCUGCUGGCCGGCGGCGGGAGGCGUCCGGUGGCGCAGUGGUAGAGAUCAAGUCCCUCCACUCCUUCUCGGGUUCAAGCUUCCCGGCGGCGCGGCGGCAGCCGGAGGAGGUCGGGCCGGCGACGAUCCGGUACCGGAGGCCGAGGGGAAGGCGAUGCGCCCCGCAGUGGGCGGCGGUGAUGCGCGGUUGCCGGGAUGGCUCGGCCUCGUCUCGCACCAGUCCUGGGCGGCCGCAGGAUGCCCGAGUGGAGGCCGACGGCGCGCGGGGAUGACCGAACGGCAAGCGGGAGGUCGUCGGAGUUGACUGGAGGGCGGCACGGCCGGCGGGGAGCGGUGGCUGCGCACGCACCCCGAUCUCGAGCCCGCUUGGUCUGGGUUGACGCGAGUUGGCCCGAGCCUGCUCCAGCGGCGCCGGCGACGUGCGGCGACGGCGGGGAUGGCUGGUGAUGAUGUCGGAAGAAGAUCUUGGCCGAGGGGGAAAGAUUCCUGGGGGUUAUGAAGCUUUCCCAAUAAUUUUCGGUCAAGAUGGUGGAGAGGGUGGCCGAGGGAGGAGAAGAGGGGGUUCAGGUGGGUUCUCCCGCGACCGGAGUUGCUUGCUGGAGGUCGGGGCACGCGCACGGUGAGGGCAAGGGUUUGUUGGGGAGGUGAGAAGGCUUUAGGAUUAGGGUUUCCUUGUGAAACCGUAACACCUAAAUGUAUACAUAGAUGUAUAGUUGCGGAAGGGCCCUCCCAAGCAUUUUAUUUAAAGCCCAGCCCCUGCCAGAAUGUGUAUUAUGCGUACACGUCCCUUGGCGUUUGAAUUCAUGCGAAACGGCGCAUAAAAUAUAGGGUCUUUUCGUGAUUUAUCCGUUUUGCCAAUUUGACCCCUUAGUGGACUUUUCGCGAUUCCCGAAGAUCCGUCCGUCGGAUAUCCGAACAGAUUGCGCCAGCGCGUUCAGCAUGACCGGGGCAUCGAAUUUAGCAUCUCGUUUCAUCCGAUUUGGUCUCCGAUAUGCGACAGAACCUACCCUCUUUGUUUUCACUAUGUAGCCACUUAUAUUAAUACAUGUGAAACCAAUCAAACCCCUUUUCUCGACAACCGUGCAUUAUAACUCAAUUCCGUCAGUGCCAUUAGGUCCAGAACAGUCGAGCCGUUCGAAAUGAUCUAUUGGAGCGCUAUGUUCGGAGUCCAAUGCGCACCAGAACCGUCUUCUACUCACUGGCUCCUUCGAAAAGCCGGAGUUACUAUUCACUUUAAGUUAUCGGUUCAGGUCGUGAAACUUCUCCAUCUUAACUCGUUUUCUCCUGAAACUUGACGGGUGCUUAUGUAAUUAAUUACACACAUAAACAUCGUCAACAGAAAGUUUAGUUGCACUGUCAAAAUCUCAGUCCUUACAUAGAAUAUUUUAUAGGCUGCCACAUUUGCAAAUAAACCCUCUAUCUCUUUUUAUUUGCAGCAGACCCAGCCUGCUGUUCGUAGCAUUGCGUACCGGUACGCGGGAGGGCAUCACCGGUAUGCCCCCUGUUCAACAGCCCAACCCAAGAGCUACUGUCUCUCGGGUUGCUGCAGGGUACUAAUAAUACCAGGACAGUCAUCGGUUAAGUCGUCGUGCAGAGACCAAACUCGAGAUCUGCCAGUUCUCGGUUUGCUGCCUAGUACUGGUACGGCCUUGAUGCUUCACCGGUUAACAAUGCUCCAGAAUGCAGUUUUGCAUUGUUUCAACUCCAAUUUGUGCUGAGCAAUGCUAAUACUUUUCUAACUCACUUGGAACUCAACUUUAACCCUUCCAACAUUGUUGAAAUGUCAAAUGGACUUUGUCUAACUAUUUCUCUCGCACACUUUGAUCAAUUUGACUAAAGUUCGAUAUACUCUACCGAAGUUUCGGUAUAUUACAUUCUCCACCCCUUAAAAUUAGUUUCGCCUGCGAAACUAACCCAUACCUUAGCUCGUCGACUCAAAUAAGUGAGGACACGCCUUUCGCAUUGUCUCCUCGAGCUCCCAGGUGGCUUCACGCACCGCAUGGUUGCUCCACUGGACUUAGACAUAGGGGAUUGUGUGACUUCGCAAUUUCCUUUCUUCUCUACCGAGGAUACACACCGGGUACUCCUCAUAGGUCAUGUUCUCGUGCAAUUCCACGGGUUCAUACUCUAGCACGUGAGUCGAAUUGCGAAUAUACUUGCGGAGAUUUGACACAUGAAACACAUUGUGGACUCCCGCAAGCCUCGGUAGUAAUGCAAGCUUGUAUGCCACUGCACCGACCCGCUCCAAUAUCUCGAACGGUCAAACAUACUGGGGACUUAGUUUCCCACGGACUCCAAACCACUUUACUCCUCGUAUCGGCGAUACUUUCAAAAAUACGCGGUCUCCAACCGUGAACUCUAAAUCCUUUCUCCGCUUGGCGGCAUAGCUCUUUUGUCGAGAUUGUGCCGUCGCAAGUCAUUGGCGGGCAAGGCGAACUUUUUCUUUCGCCUCCCGCACCACAUCGGGGCCAAGAGUAACUCUUUGGCCCACAUCACUCCAAUGGAUAGGAGAGCGAUACUUCUUUCGAUAAAGGGCUCGAAUGGCGCCAUCGCGAUACUUUCUCAAUAACUAUUGUUGUAUCGAAUUCCGCCAUCGGUAAAUAGUUGUGCGAUCUGCCCUUGUAAUCAAGUACACAUGCUCGAAGCAUAUCCUCAAGGAUUUGUAUUGUCUUCUCCGAUUGACCAUCAUUUUGAGGAUGAAAUGCGGUACUAAAGUCGAGCCGUGUGCCCAAAGCGUCUUGUAAGCUCUUCCCAAAGUGAGAUGUGAACCUAGGGUCUCAAUCCAAUACAAUAGACACCGGAACCCCAUAUUGUCUCACAACCUCGUUGAGGUACACUUGAGCCAACUUAUCUCCGGACCAUGUAGUGUGGAUCGGCAAGAAGUAUGCCGAUUUCAUCAACCGGUCCACAACCACCCAAAUUGCAUUAUGCCCGGCUUGAGACCGAGGCAAACCGAUCACAAAAUUCAUUGCGAUAUCUUUCCAUUUCCAAAUGGGUAUAGAUAAACUUUGCAACUUUUCCGCCGGAAAUCGGCGCUCCGCUUUUACUUGUUGACAUGUAAGGCAUUGCGCCACGAACUUCCUAAUAUCUUUCUUCAUGCCCGGCCACCAAUAAUGCACUUUUAAGUCUUGGUACAUCUUAGUGCCACCCGGGUGAAUGCUAUAGGGAGAUUGAUGCGCUUCUUGCAUUAUCGCCUUUCGAAUGUCCUCGUCUUUAGGCACAUACCAACGAUUUCAGAAUCGAAGUGCGCCAUCGGUCCCAAUACCGAAAUCAUCGGUACUACCGUUUUCAACUUCAUCACGCAUCUUUUGGAGAUAUUCAUCGGAAGCUUGUAGCUCUUUAAUCUUCUCCAACAAGGUUGGUUGCACCACCAAUGCGGCAAGGCUAGCCGGCACCCCCGGGGCCACUACUUCCAAACAAAACCGUUGCAUCUCUUUUUGCAAUAACGGUUGGGGUGCGAUUGCCGUAACCAAGUUUUUUACCGAUUUUCUACUUAGUGCAUCGGCCACGACAUUUGCCUUUUCCGGGUGGUAUAGAAUAGUGACAUCAUAAUCUUUUAGCAACUCCAACCACCGCCGUUGUCGCAUAUUUAAUUCUUUUUGGUGAACAAGUAUUUGAGACUCUUAUGAUCCGUGUAAAUCUCACAAUGCUCACCGUACAAGUAAUGCCUCCACAACUUUAGCGCGAAUAUCACUGCGGCUAGCUCGAGGUGAUGAAUCGGAUAGUUCUUUUCAUAACUCUUCAAUUGGCGCGAAGCAUAUGUGAUGACUCGCCCAUUUUGCAUCAAGACACACCCGAGACCAAUAUAUGAAGCAUCACUGUACACAACGAAGCUCUCCCCCGGCAUCGAUAGUGCAAGCACCGGGGUUGACGUCAACCUUUCUUUUAAUUCCUCGAAGUUCCGAUCGCAAUCGUCGCUCUAAAAUAUACUUUACUCCUUUAUGCGUGAGACGCGUGUAGUGUUCCGAAGUUUUGGAUAGGAUUGGAUGCAGUAUUAGUGACUGGUCGACAUAUCUGGAGAGUGUCGGACUGAGUCGGAGUCAUUUCUGCACGAAAUGGAUGCAGAAAUGGACUUGACACACUCAAAUAGGCAAAACUGGAGUUUUGUCGGUUUCGGGCGCCCAGAACUGGAUUUGGGUCGCCCAGAACUUGAGUGCUGAACUGAGCAGAAUUGAAAACCAAUUCGGAUUCUGGUUUCGGGCGCCCAGAAGUGGGUCCGAAAAUUCACUUUGUGAAUAUCGCCUGUGCUGACACGUGUAUGUGGUAGGUGAGUUCUGUCGGACCACGUUAGGGGCACAGCAGACCGUAGGUGGAGGAACCGAAGAGGAGUGGUUGUAUGACUUGGAGGUUUUGGACGCCCAGAAGAGUGUUUCGGGUGCCCGAAAGUGUAGAGUUCUGCAGGGACAGCAGGUUAGUGUUUCUUAUUCCUUGGGCUUAUCAGACCAUUUCACCUCUCUAUAAAAGCUUGGGUGCAAUCCCCUGAGAAGCCUUUUCACCCUUCUUCACAAAGAAACCCAAUUUUUGCAUUUGAGCCCUUCAAAUCCUCCAAAUUUGCACAAGUUCACAUUAACGGCUGCAGUUUCAGCAGAUUCCAGCAGCGCGUUUUUACUCGUGUGCGACGUAGGGAGCUCCGAUUGCCACGAAAUUUGGUUUGUUGGUUAGAAGACUUCCUGGAGAUUUCGUGGAGCCCAUUUUGAUAGCAUUUGAUUAAGGUUAGCUUGGUCAAUUUAGUAUUUUUCUGAGCUAUUGGUGGUUUUGAGCUGAAUUUGGGAUUUCUUGUGUUUUCUUGGAUCAAAUCUGGGAUAAAGCUGGAUUUCGGACCUGAGGAGGUUACACCAUCACACUUCACUAGUUUUGAGACCUUUUCUCACCUGAAUUGGAGGUUGAAAGGUAAGUAUUGCAACUAAUUGGAUAUGAUUCAGAUUAGUUACAACAAAUUAGUAUUGCAACUAAUUGGAUAUGAUCCAAAUUAAUUACAAAAGAAUGUAUGCAACUAAUUGGAUAUGAUCCAAUUAGUUAUAACAGAAUGUUGAGGAGUGCCGAUCCGUACGGCUCAAUUAAUUGGAGCUGUGCAUAAAAGGACGCGGCUUCAUUAGUAGGCAACACAUGAAAAUUAAUGUGAAGAGAUUCACAUUAUUCUCUCUCAACCUUUCGUCAAAUAUUUUACUAAAAGGGAACGUGGAUAAGAGAAGACUGCUAGCACUGUCUUUGUAAUCUGCGACUCAUCUGUUCCGUGCGACGGAAGGCGUUGGAUGUGGAUCAAUUCCGUGUGGAUACGCGUAGAGGCCGGGCACGUGCGCGGCUAAUUGGAAUCUCAGUUUCAACCGUACAGUAGAUCAAGAGACCUUAACUGGUCCGAGGUGAUGUAGCCUGAACUUCAAAUCUGUUUAGGUUAGAUUAUUAUUUUACAUUGUAACAUGAGAAUGAUCCGCCGGCACUGGAUUGAUUUGUUUUUGUUUUGAUUCAUAUGCGAUAUGGAUUUUUGUUUUUCGAAAAUACAAUUUUAAUUUCCGCUGCGAUUUUUUUGUGCCGGAUAAAUUCUUAUAGCCCUAACAUCAAUCUUACAAGAUACCUCACCUUAGCCUAGAUGCCCACCAAGCUCCACCUUAUAGGAGAGCCCUAGACCCUUCAAAACUCCAAAUCUCCUCCAAAUCCUCUUCUUGAUCUCCUCCUUUCACUUUGGAGGAGAGUUUCUAGAGAGAGAGAGGGAGAGAAAUGAGAGAGGAGUGUGUUCUCACUACUGUGAAUGAGAGAGGAGAGGUUGGGGUAUUUUAUAGGCUGCCACAUUUGCAAAUAAACCCUCCAUCUCUUUUUAUUUGCAGCAGACCCAGCCUGCUGUUCACAGCACUGCGUACCGGUACGCGGGAGGGCAUCACCGUUUCCCCCCCUGUUCAACAGCCCAACCCGAGAGCUACUGUCUCUCGGGUUGCUGCAGGGUAUUGGUACUACCAGGACAGUCACACCCGCUCGGUAGGAUGCUUCCAGUUUAGGAAUGGUAGCAUUAUCGACGGCUUCGGUAGGAUGCUUCCAACCGAAUUCGAUAGCUUUCCACACCCGCUCAUCGAUUGCGAUUAGAAAAGCUCUCAUGCGAACUUUCCAACGGGCAUAAUUCGUGCCAUCGAAGAGUGGUGGUCGAUUAAUGUUACCACCUUCGGCCAUUAGAUAUCAAUAUAUCUAGAUCCCGCUCUGAUACCAAUUGAAAGUUUUGAGAAGCCCAAGGAUCUAUCUAGAUUGUAUCUAACACCUAGAGGAGGGUGAAUAGGUGUAAUAGCCAAAAACCACAAAUCUCAAUGCCAUCAAAAUAAAUGCGAAAAAUAAAAAUAACACCAAGAUUUACGUGGGAAAACUCCAACUUGGAGAAAAACCCAUGGGACCAACACGCGAAAAAAUAAUUCACUAACAGAAAAGAUUACAAGGUGAUUACCGACUCCACGGACUCGACCUCUCUUAACCUCUUACGAAUCUCGCGCAAUCCUCUGGGUUGUCCACGCCCUCACGUUCUAAUCCACAAACGCCACGUUCCGAAUCCACGAAACGCCUCCACUCCGAAUCCACGAAGCUCACGAUUCGAAUCCACGAACCGCCGUCAAUCACGCUGAAUCCAUGACGCCGUCAUAUGAAGAACAUCAUGUGUACGGUGAUCCUUCGCUUAGAGUAUCGAUGAAAACCAGGAAAGAGAUCUCCAUGCAAAGCGAAGAUCAAAUCGACAUAUAGAUAUGAAAUUCCAAUAUCUCGAUUUGACCUAAAAGAGGCUAAUAUGUAGAAAAUAGGUUUUAGAUGAAAUCUUCGAAAUCGUGAGUUAUUUUUCCGAUUUCUUCGAAAUCUUGAAUUCUUCGAUCUUCAACGAUACGCACCGAUUCUUCAAGACUCCGACUUACUUCACGAAACUUGCCAACACACAAGACUUAACAAUGUGUGCUACGUUUCAGGACGUGAUGGCACCAAGAGGACGCCCUAGUACGCAAUUUGCACCGGCACCGCCUCCUGAGGUGCUCGGGCAGACGUGGUCGGAUGAAGUGCGCGAGCUGCGGGCCUAAGUAGCGACUUUGGCCGGGGCUAUGCGGCAACAGGGGGAGCAAAUUGGACGGCUCCAUAAAUUGGUGGCUCAACAGGCGGCGGCGGCUGCACCUGUACCUCAGGAUCCGCCCGCACAUGUUGCACCUGUAGCACCGCCUCCUGCGGUGGCGGCAGCACCGGUGACGGCUAUUCCUCCGACGGCAUCAGGUUCAUCGGCUCCUAUUCCCGAUGUACUUGAGGCCGAGCAGGAGCGAUCGUUGGCGGUGUUGACGGCCUUCAAGCGAUUCAACCCUCCGACCUUCAACGGUGAUGUGAGGGAUCCGUGGUUGGUGAAGUCGUGGUUGGCCACGAUGGAAGCGUUGUUCAAGGACAUUUAUACCCUCGAGAAGGAUAAGGUUCAUCUUGCGGCCCAUUGCUUCGAGGGGUCGGCGCGGCUAUGGUGGACAUAAGCGAAGAAAAGUCACUCGUUGGAACUCGCUUCCGUUACUUGGGAGGCAUUUUGGGAGAUGCUAUUGAUGGAGUAUUUUUCCGAGAGUGACAAGCGGAAGAUCAAAGAAGAUUUUCGAAAGUUGAGGCAAGGUAGUCGAACGUGUUAAGGAUUUUAUAGGUUGGCGAAUUUCGUAAAGUUGUUUGGAGUCUUGAAGAGUUGAUCGCAGAAGUUUUGAAGAAGAGAUUCAAAUUGGAGAACGAAGACUCAUUCGGAAAGCUCGACACCUAAGGUAUAAAGAAAAGAUCAUUUGUGGUGAAAAUAUCUAAUUAGAAUAAGUUCAGGAGGCUUAGAUUGCUUUAAAACAACUUUUCUGAACUUUCAUGUAUUCUGGGACCGGUCCCUGAAAUGGAGAGACUGGUUCCCCUAAGCUCCUCACUGCGUGAACCUUGAUGCAACCGGUCCCCUGUGAUGAGAGACCGGUUCCCGAACCAUGGUGUUUCUGUCGCGCAGCGAGGGACCGGUCUCAAGUUUGAGAGACCGGUUCCCGAACGUUGGGAUUUUGGUCACGCAGAGAGGGACCGGUUCCUCACUUGAGAGACCGGCCUCUCACAGACCGGUCUCCUCGAGAAGACCGGUCUCUGAGGACGCAUAGGUUUUUAAAAAGGACGUUUUGCAAUCCUAGUCUACUUCUAAGUCUUCUAAACAUAUAAAUAAGCUAUGUGGGUCAUCAAAAAGUUUAAGACUUUGAAUGUUUACCGAUUCUAAAUCCUAGAAACUCAUUUUUUUCUCCGUUUUCAAUGUUUAGAUUUACAUAAUGAGUUUCUAACAAUCAACAUUGGCUUGAUUCUUCGUUUUUACUCGAUACCUCUUACGAGAAUCAAGUAGAUGUUUGACAAAAGGUGAAUCCUCAUAGCUUAUGGUAUUAAAAGGUCAAAUCAUCACAAAUCUUCGAUUCUACAAGCUCCGGAAGGAGGUUCGGCGCGUGGAUCUCGCGUGAAGCCGAGGAUUCGGUGGACGCUUCGAGGAAUUGAGGCGUUGAUGCUGCGAGGAGUUGCAGCAAGGUCGAUUGGUGGAUUCUUAUCGAUCGAGGACCGGCGAAGAUCAUCAUCUACGGGAAAUUGGUAAAUUGAGUCGUGUGUUUUGGUCAAAAUCACUUGUACUCAUGUUUUCUUAGUGGAUUUUCUUUGCGUGAUUGGUCCCGUGGGUUUUU